UACGUAGGGUGCAAGCGUUAAUCGGAUUUACUGGGCGUAAAGCGUGCGCAGGCGGCCCGUUAAGACAGGUGUGAAAUCCCUGGGCUCAACCUAGGAAUUGCGCUUGUGACUGGCGGGCUCGAGUACGGUAGAGGGGGGUGGAAUUCCUGGUGUAGCAGUGAAAUGCGUAGAGAUCAGGAGGAACACCGAUGGCGAAGGCAGCCCCCUGGGCCUGUACUGACGCUCAUGCACGAAAGCGUGGGGAGCAAACAGG
rnacentral:rRNA from 1 species